UGGAGUAAAAGGCUAUGGNUCAACCAUAGUGUGCUCUGGAAACUGUNUGACUUGAGUGCAGAAGGGGAGAGUGGAAUUCCAUGUGUAGCGGUGAAAUGCGUAGAUAUAUGGAGGANCACCAGUGGCGAAAGCGGCUCUCUGGUCUGUCACUGACGCUGAGGCUNGAAAGCGUGGGUAGCGAACAGGAUUAGAUACCCUGGUAGUNCACGCCGUAAACGAUGAGUGCUAGGUGUUAGGCCCUUUCCGGGGCUUAGUGCCGGAGCUAACGCAAUAAGCACUCCGCCUGGGGAGUACGACCGCAAGGUUGAAACUCAAAGGAAUUGACGGGGGCCCGCACAAGCGGUGGAGCAUGUGGUUUAAUUCGAAGCAACGCGAAGAACCUUACCAGGUCUUGACAUCCCGAUGCUAUUCUUAGAGAUAGGAAGUUACUUCGGUACAUCGGAGACAGGUGGUGCAUGGUUGUCGUCAGCUCGUGUCGUGAGAUGUUGGGUUAAGUCCCGCAACGAGCGCAACCCUUAUUGUUAGUUGCCAUCAUUAAGUUGGGCACUCUAGCGAGACUGCCGGUAAUAAACCGGAGGAAGGUGGGGAUGACGUCAAAUCAUCAUGCCCCUUAUGACCUGGGCUACACACGUGCUACAAUGGUCGGUACAACGAGUUGCGAGCCGGUGACGGCAAGCUAAUCUCUGAAAGCCGAUCUCAGUUCGGAUUGGAGGCUGCAACUCGCCUCCAUGAAGUCGGAAUCGCUAGUAAUCGCGGAUCAGCACGCCGCGGUGAAUACGUUCCCGGGCCUUGUACACACCGCCCGUCACACCACGAGAGUUUGUAACACCCGAAGUCGGUGAGGUAACCUUUUAGGGGCC
rnacentral:rRNA from 1 species